ensembl:lincRNA
AUGCAGUACCCAGAAGCUUUGGGCUGGGAGAGCAGAAGCCACUCUGGGCGGUUCAAGCAGCAAACGAACAAGGAGGCUGAGUACAUAGCUCAGUGGUCCAAGGGCCCGGCUAAGCAGGCCUGGGACCCUCCCACAGCCCAGUGCUGCAAAAGAAAUCAAACAAACAGAAAACUAACAAGGGUGCUCUUGCGCCAGCCUGCAUCUGGGCUGUCUCCUCCAGAGCCCAGCAGGGGUGAGGAGACCUUGCCACCAGGACUCUCCCCAACCAGCUCCCCUGAGGCAGGAGCGGUGCCUGUCUCUGUGCAUCCCUCAGUGCCAAGCAUCCUAACGCAACCCACAAGCACCAGCAGAUGCUCAAUACUUGGGCACAAUGAGCCCAAGCAGUGGUUGUUUACUAAUGGCCUGUGACAAGAACGUAGUGGUACCUGGGUCUACGACUUUAAUUCUUUCCCUGAUUCUGGUUGCACCUGAAUUGUAAGCAUAUAUUCGGUUGCAACCAGAAUCAUGGAAAGAAUUAAGUUCAUGAACUGAGGCACAGCUGUGCCUAGCAACUGGCCCAUGCAGGGAAGCUAUCUGCCCCAUCCAAGCUUCGAAGAUGAGACACCCAAUAAAUACUUGCUGAAUGAAUAAACUCCUGGCUGUCCUGAUGUGUGGCUCCACGCCCUCCUCUCCCACUGGAGACAACAAAUCAGAGUGCAGUGCGAGAAAAAUGGCAUUAUUAAAGGCACAUCAGUGAGUCAUUUGAAAGAUCCACCCUUUAUUACAUGCCAUAAAUUACUGGACAUGGACCUCAAGACUGAUGAUCACAUGCAAUGGGGAGAGACAGUGGUUGAGAACAGCUGAUUUAGACAAAGCUAAGAAAUACGAAGCACUUUCUGCUCUUACUACUUUCCAGAAGAUGAAGAUGACAGUAAGUUCGGGAAGAAUUAAUAACUGAAUCACCCCACAUCUCCUUUCAUAAAACAGAUUUUUGUGCAUCCCAGGAGAAAUGCUUGUUUAAAUCAAAGUGUUAGAAAUUCUUUUUCACAGUUAUUUCUUCCCAAACCAGUGAGGCCCACAGGUAGUCACUAUCGCCAUUCAAAAGCCAGCCUAUAGCACACUUGCUUCACAGAGGCCCCUUGGGCACUCCAAGUGUGACCAAGCAGACCCCCAAAUAUGGCAAUUGCUACGUCUUAUUUUGUUUUGGUCAUUUGUGUCUAUUUUAUCUUUUGGGUAAGACACGCCUGCCAGUUUUAUUCUUGUUUAUAGAAGGCGACCCUAAAUACCAAUCACAUGAUGAAAUACAUCCCAAAACGAAAAGUCCUAAUAAAGGUUUCAGUCUUGGUAUGUUGAAGCGAGAAACAAAUCUGAGAAAGCCAGAAAGCCAGAAGCCACGAAACCACAGGGACAGCCACACACUCCAAACAAGGCUAAAGUUAGUAAAGGAAAAUAUAGCAACCCACAGCCAGUAACAUCAGAACCCUGAAUAGCCUAGGGAACCAGCCACUCCGUCCACACAAUCACAUCUGAGCUCUUCACCCCACAUACAGGGGAACGCAAGGAUUUGGUCUUACGCUUUUAAAUGAAUUUAAAAAACUUUUGGUCUAUUGAGUAUACCAGUGUUUGGAAUAUUUGGGCCCAAAUUAGAGUGAAGCAUGAGAAAAGGCAGUGUAUCAGGGUGUAUUUUAAACUUCAUUAUUACAACUAAAGGGAGGAGCAAUGAAGCCAAAAUCCCAAGGGCACAACAGAAAGAGCAUAGGGAACUGGAAGCUGCUUUAAAGAUGAAUAAAUAAAGACCACAAGGUCUUGAACAACAGUUCUCUCUGUCCUGUCGGACAGGGUAGCUGUGGUCCCCAAGACAGCAAGGCAGGUGCCUGCCCCUCCGCCACACUCUAUCUCUUCCCAGGAAGAGUCUGCAUCUUCUGGUCAUAUCCUGAAACCCUUGUUCCUAGAAGCUCUUAGGCUCUCUGGGCCGAGGACCCCUCUGCCGGUCUGACGAGGCUCCCUGAACCCAAGCAGAGAAAUGUUUCCAACAUAUAAACUACAAAGGGUCACUCACCAGCAACUGAGUUGUAUGUAGUUAUCAAAUGAGCUCCAAAUCUACAUGUACUUCUGUACUAGAGCAUCAUGUAAAGCUCUAGCAGGGAUCUUCUUGUUUCCUUCACUUAACUGAAUGAAAUGAACUAAAUUCCAGUUCGAGUAGUGUAAAAAUGAAGACAUACUUUUUCCCCACCCAGGUUUGUGGAAUCCACCUGUAGGCUCUAGUUUAAGAGCCCCUGGUUGACAGAGCCAAUAAAAAUACAUUUUGUAAAGCACCAAAUGAAAAAUAAAACGCAUUGCCCAUUCAACUGCAAGACAAGAACUAAGAGAGCGAGCACUAUUUUUCAAAACCCAAGACGGGCCUCCUUUACUUGGCAGGAGAGGGGCAGGCUUGACACCGACUGUAGAAGGCACUGGAGGGGGCGUGGGCAGCUCUCUGGGGUUCAGCCUCCCUGGAGACAGGGUGCACAGGGACCCAGCUCAGCCCUACGGCAAUUGGGCACAAAUCUCCUCCUCCUAGGAGUCCUGUCCUUCUUCCUCGAUAAAAUAAAAUAAAAUAAACUAUGCACCUAGCCCCUAGGCCCUUCCAGUCCUCAACUCUAUCAUCACAUCAUCUCCUCCUUGUGGUAGUUCUUUCAGUCUAUUUAGCUUCACUUCAAAGUAUCAUUGCCUUUCUGAAACAGAACAACAAGUGUUACCCAACUGGAAUGUUCUCAUGUACAACCUAACACCAGGGAGUCCUUAGAAUUGUUUCAAGCCUGUUUAGUGCACAGCUCCUCCCUAAGAAGCAACUCAAGCAUUGGUCUUUUCUGCCACUGAGACACCAGAUGCAAGCACAUUUGAAUUCUAGCACUAUCACAAUCAAUAGAUGUCAAGCUACUUAGAAUCUGUAAUUUAACUAUACAUCUCCCACAUCUGAGCCAAUGAACACAGUUAAGAGUGUAGGCCAAGGGUUCUUGAUGACUACCUAACCUAGAUGUUUUCUGGUGCUGCUAAAGAAAGAACUAUGCCAAAAUGGGGCUGGGGAUUUAGCUCAGCAGCAAAAGCGCCUGCCUGGCAAGCGCAAGGUCAUGAGUUCGGUUCCCGGUACCAGAGAAAAACCAAAAAAAAAAAAGAACUAUGCCAAAAUCACAAAGCCAGUCAACGAGGCAGGACAUGAACUAGGUCCCUCAACUGCAAACACACCCUCUUCUCACUCCACUGAAUUGGCUCCCAAAUCCUGAGGCACUUUCCCAAUUUUAAAAUGUUAUUAAACUUAAAAUUAAAAGCACAUUUAAAAUUAAAAUGAGGACCUAAUGAUUAGACUGGUUAUUUUUUUUUCCUUACUAUCAAUUAUUAAGGAGCACAACAUAGACUGGCGGCUAUGACACACUAACUGGCUGGAAUUAAGAAAUAAUUUAAAUUUCAAUAAUCUGUCAGAAAGCAAUGACCCCACUAAAGUCCUAACUAUGGGACUGUCUCUUAAUAUUCAUGCAAACACAUGAAAAGCUGUAGAAACAUUUAUGCGUGGAUACAAACGUCUACCAACUUUUCAGUCUGCUCUGCAGAAUUUUCUAAUAACAUUUUACUAUGAAACUCAGAAGACAGCAAAAAAGACAGUCACACAGCAGUGAAAACAAACCAACCAUGUAUUUUACAAGUAAGCAAAAGAGAUUCUAUCAAUAUCAAACACAGGGCAUUUUUUGACUUCCAGGAAAAAUGCAUUAAGAAGAAAGUCUUGUGCACAGCAUCUUCUUACUACCAUUUACCUCCUAGGGUCAGACAGCAAGUUUGACAGUAAGUUCUGUUUGAAUGUUAUUGUUGCUUUAAGAGAGAAGGCACUGUCUCCAGGUGAAGGCUGCAAUAUGAUCCCAGUAGGGCCUCUAGGAUUUACCUACCUAUUCACUCUUUCACCUGCACUCUUUGAGGUGUCCAAUAUUGCUAAAAAGUCAGAAACCUACUCCCAAAAAAGAUCACAAUUCAAGUAUUCAAAAGCUAGACUAGCGUAUUCUAUUCACAUUUUACUUCCUGGGAGACCAGCCCUGACCUACUUGAAGAAAGCAAUCCCCACUUACAGCACUCUUUGUCCACGUUAACCAACUUCCGUUGAGAGCUUGGCAGCACCUGAUAUUCCAUUUAUUAUUCAUUUACGUAUGGAUUUCUGUUUAUGUCUGCCACUCCACACUAAAACCAACGGUCCUGGUUAGCUGCCGACUUCUCAAUACCCAAAUCCAGCUGGCACAUAGUAGGUGGCAAUGCCAUCAUCCUUGGUGUCUCCUCAAAAAGCAUUAAGCGUUGGGCAGGGCACGUGUCACCAGCAAUCUAUUGACACAGCUUAGGACAUUGGGGCAGAGGAGGGCUAAGUCCUUCUCCUGACUUUGGAAUGCCCUGCACAAACAUCUCAACACGACUGCCUCAAAAGGAAAUCAUGAAAUAAAGUUCUGGCACAAGUUCAUCUUCCGUGUCAAGUUCAGCGCGUUAAGACACUUUAAAGCUGGCCACACAAACAAAACCAAACUCUGCAAAAUGAGGCUGGGCUACAGUUACAUAAGACAGACUUGACCCCUGGCUUUCCGCCCUGCCGUGCCCCUCUCCCCAGAGAACACAGACAGGGUCCUUCCCCGCAGUUCCCACGCAGGAGAGAAAAUCGCCCAUCUGCAGACCCUUCAAGUCCUAGUCCUCCAGCAACAUGACCAGGAGACAGCGUGCGGCUCCCCCAGCCUCCCCAGCAACUCUUCCACCAGUUCUAAGGGGCACUCAGCAGCCGUCCGAUCGCCUCUUUCCAAGUUCGUCGCCCUGGCCCGCAGACGCGCCGAGCCCACCCACGGGCACCCACGGCCCCAGCCGGCCGGGACCAAGGCGGGAGCGGUGCGGGCAGCAGACGCGAGCCACAGAAGCGGCCCAAGCCCGAAUCGCCGCUCCCGGGCUCCCGCACCCCUGCACCCGUCGCCCCCGGAGCUCCUCGGGCUAUUAGGGAACAAUGGGGCUGUCACGCGGGGCUGGGAGCGGGUGAGGUCCGACUGCGCCCUUCAGCGAGUGUGGUCCCGGUCCGCAACCCCGGCCUGCGGCGGCGCGGGAGCGCGGUCAGGGCUGGGAAGAGGACCCGGGGUGUCGGGGGAGGGGGCAGAUGUGGAGGAUCGGGCCGGGACCGGGGUGC